GCCUGGGAUAGCUCAGUUAGUAGAGCUUGAGACUCAAUCUCAGGGUUGUGGGUUCAAACCCCACGUUGGGCA